UACAGAGGUCUCAAGCGUUGUUCGGAUUCAUUGGGCGUAAAGGGUGCGUAGGCGGCGCGGUAAGUCGGGUGUGAAAUCUCGGGGCUUAACUCCGAAACUGCAUUCGAUACUGCCGUGCUUGAGGACUGGAGAGGAGACUGGAAUUUACGGUGUAGCGGUGAAAUGCGUAGAUAUCGGGGAGGAACACCGGUGGCGAAGGCGGCCCCCUGGUUGGAUACUGACGCUGAGACGCGAAAGCGUGGGGAGCAAACAGG
rnacentral:rRNA from 1 species